rnacentral:lncRNA from 1 species
CUUGGGACAUCAAAUAUCAAUAGAUUGGUUGUACCUUCCCGAUACAAUCGAACUACUGUAACCAGUCGAGAAUGAUCAAUGUCAGAAAGGCACCCGCAUCUCUACAAUGAUGGAAGAUCUCUAGAUUUAAUAUUUAGUGAGAAAAUUUAGAUUUAGAUCUCUUUUAAAUCAGUAGAUCUGACAUUUGACUGAUCAAAUUCAGGUC